rnacentral:lncRNA from 1 species
UUCUUUUAUAAUUAACACCCUCAAAAAUACACUAUUCACAUCAGUUUAGCAGCUCAGGUACAGAUAUUUUUCGCCUGCCCUUCUUAAUGUCCGUUUGAGCUCAAAUUUAACAGUCAGGCUCAGUUUUACUUAACUUAACGAAAGAAAUUUUAAUCUUCCAGUUUCGCCCCUGUUUGGUCACCGAAAGCUCUACCGAACUGUAAUCACUAGCAGAUAACAGUUGGAUUUUAUUUCCCACCUUCCGGGUGUCAGAAUGACAUGAAACUUUAAAUCUAGCCUCAUAAAAAUAAUUCUGACAUAUUCUCCAGUUUUUGUAAUUUUCUGAUACUGUACAUUUUCUGCUAAAAUAUCAGCCCCAUCUCUCACAGAAAAUUCUAAAUCUUCUGUUUUCGUUCCGAUUUCAGCACGAGACAUUUCUGACUUAUAUUUUACUCCACUAAAUCCAAUAAAAAUAGUAUCUCACACUAUUUUUAUUUAUUUUUACUUUUAUAUCAAAAUUCGGUAUGUUACACUGCCGAUGCAAUACCGGUACUCUCCCCUGCAGAGUUCAACCCGAGAGCAGCCCAAAUCCUUCAUUUU